UUCCUACGGGGCGCAGCAGUGAGGAAUAUUGGUCAAUGGACGCAAGUCUGAACCAGCCAAGUAACGUGCAGGAUGACGGCCCUCCGGGUUGUAAACUGCUUUUAGUUGGGAAUAAAAGGGGGCUCGUGAGCCCCGUAUUGUAUGUACCAUCAGAAAAAGCAUCGGCUAACUCCGUGCCAGCAGCCGCGGUAAUACGGAGGAUGCGAGCGUUAUCCGGAUUUAUUGGGUUUAAAGGGUGCGUAGGCGGUCCGUUAAGUCAGCGGUAAAAUUGCGGGGCUCAACCCUGUCGAGCCGUUGAAACUGGC
rnacentral:rRNA from 1 species